rnacentral:rRNA from 1 species
GAGUUUGAUCCUGGCUCAGGAUGAACGCUGGCGGCGUGCUUAACACAUGCAAGUCGAACGGACCCAUAUUGAAACCUAGUGAUAUAUGGGUUAGUGGCGGACGGGUGAGUAACGCGUGGGUAACCUGCCUUACACAGGGGGAUAACACUUAGAAAUAGGUGCUAAAACCGCAUAAGCGCACAGCUCCGCAUGAAGCGGUGUGAAAAACUCCGGUGGUGUAAGAUGGACCCGCGUCUGAUUAGCUUGUUGGCGGGGUAACGGCCCACCAAGGCGACGGUCAGUAGCCGGCCUGAGAGGGCGGACGGCCACAUUGGGACUGAGACACGGCCCAGACUCCUACGGGAGGCAGCAGUGGGGAAUAUUGCACAAUGGGGGAAACCCUGAUGCAGCGACGCCGCGUGAGUGAAGAAGUAAUUCGUUACGUAAAGCUCUAUGCAGCAGGGAAGAAAU